rnacentral:rRNA from 1 species
AGAGACAGCAGCCGCCGCGGUAAAACAGAGGAUGCAAGCGUUAUCCGGAAUGAUUGGGCGUAAAGCGUCUGUAGGUAGCUUUUCAAGUCCGCCAUCAAAUCCCAAGGCUCAACCCUGGACAGGCGGUGGAAAAUACCAAGCUGGAGUACGGUAGGGGCAGAGGGAAUUUCCGGUGGAGCGGUGAAGUGCGUUGAGAUUGGAAAGAACACCAACGGCGAAAGCACUUUGCUGAGCCGACACUGACAUUGAGAGACGAAAUCUAGGGGAGCAAAUGGGAUUAGAUACCCCUGUAGUCCCUGUCUCUUAUAC